rnacentral:tRNA from 3 species
GCGGGAGUAGUUUAGUGGCAGAACAUCGGCUUCCCAAGCCGAAUAUGCGGGUUCGAUUCCCGUCUUCCGCUCCA